rnacentral:ncRNA from 1 species
GGUUUGGUCCUGACCUUGAAGUCAAUUACUUCUUAAUAUACACAUGCAAGUAUCCGCCCCCCUGUGAAAACGCCCUUAAAUCCCCUUUAGGGAUAAGGAGCUGGUAUCAGGCACGAAACUCUGCCCAAAACACCUAGCUAUGCCACACCCACAAGGGAAUUCAGCAGUGAUUAACAUUGAACAUAAGCGUCAGCUUGACUCAGUUAAAGAAGAGAGAGCCGGCAAAUCUGGUGCCAGCCGCCGCGGUUACACCACGUGACUCAAAUUGACCUCUAUCGGCGUAAAGCGUGAUUAAAGUUUAAAUAAAUUGAAGUUAAACUAAAAUUAAGCUGUGACACGCUUAUUUUAAGGAAAACCUAAUACGAAAGUUACUUUAACUAAAUCUACUUGAAUUCACGACAAUUAGGACACAAACUGGGAUUAGAUACCCCACUAUGCCUAAUCGUAAACCUUAAUUUACAUUUAUAUCGCCAGGGAACUACGAGCAAAGCUUAAAACCCAAAGGACUUGACGGUACCCCAAAUCCACCUAGAGGAGCCUGUCCUAUAACCGAUACCCCCCGUUUAACCUCACCAUUUUUAGCUUCUCAGCCUGUAUACCUCCGUCGUCAGCUUACCACGUGAGCGAACACUAGUGAGCCUAAUGCCCAUACACCAACACGUCAGGUCAAGGUGCAGCAUAUGAAAUGGAAAGAGAUGGGCUACACUUUCUAAUAUAGAACAUACGAAAGACUAUUUAUGAAAUCUAGUUUAAAGGCGGAUUUAGAAGUAAAAAAAAACAAGAGCGUUUUCUUUAACUAGGCACUGGGGUGUGUACACACCGCCCGUCACCCUCUUCAAAGCUUACUUACAGUAAUUAACCAAAAUUUGCUGGACAGAAGAGGCAAGUCGUAACAUGGUAAGUAUACCGGAAGGUGUGCUUGGAA